rnacentral:lncRNA from 1 species
GAAAAUUGUUUUUAUUUAUUGAAAAUAUCUCAAAACAACAAGCUUGACAUAAGUAGAAAAACUGUACAUUUCCCUCCGUGUUUCUUCCACUGUGCAGGUUGGAGCAUGUGACUAUACUACUGAGUACAGUUUGUUCUUGCACUAAAUUCAUUCAGCUAUGCUGGAUUAGAGCCAGAUAUGAAAUGAAAAGCAAAUCAUGCACAUUUCACUACUUCUCAGUUUAAAUUGGUCAAUUUCUUUCUUUGUCACUCCUCCUUUAAUAAAGUGUGGCAUUACUGUCUAUUUAUAGGUCCAACAUAGUUGAAAGCCGUGAAGCUAUGUUAAGCUGUAUAUAUAUAUUCUGGUAGGAACAUUCCAGUAGAUUGCAAUAUGAGUUCAGGAGAAAGUUGAAAGUAAAUGAGAGAUCUGUGAGAGAAUUCUCCAGGGAGUUUUCACAGCAUACCGCACAUCAUUUGCAAGGAUAGAUUUUCCUUUCACUUGGAGGACCACGCAAAAAUGAUGACCUAUACAACCUCAGCAAAUCCUUCUUUUAACUCAUGGGUAUCCAGACUAUAAAUGUUACAUGAAUCACAACUAGGACCUCACAUCCUCCUCCUCGUCCAUAGAUGGGUACGAUGCAUCAGUUCAGUUUGUUUACUUUACUUUACUUUACACAAACCUCAGGAGUUAGUUGACUGAACUGCACAUUCUAUGUUGUGCCAAGCAAAAGCACUGUGACACCUGGACAAUGAGUCUCUAUUACUUCAUCCUCUACCAUAAGGACUUAGCUGGACACAAUGAACUGAUGUGCCCACCACUAUGUCAUGUCAUCAAAGGAGGUUCCUGCAAGAUCUAGUGCUACAACAGGCUGUUGUUCCAGCUGUCUUUCACAUCCCAGAAAUACUCAUCAGGUAUCCUUUCUUGGUUCCUUCCAGUCCUGCUUUUCAGCCCAGGUAUG